rnacentral:rRNA from 1 species
CCUACGGGAGGCAGCAGUGAGGAAUAUUGGUCAAUGGCCGCAGGGCUGAACCAGCCAAGUCGCGUGAGGGAUGACGGUCCUAUGGAUUGUAAACCUCUUUUGUCAGGGAGCAAAGGGCGCCACGUGUGGCGCUUUGCGAGUACCUGAAGAAAAAGCAUCGGCUAACUCCGUGCCAGCAGCCGCGGUAAUACGGAGGAUGCGAGCGUUAUCCGGAUUUAUUGGGUUUAAAGGGUGCGCAGGCGGAAUGUCAAGUCAGCGGUAAAAUUUCGGGGCUCAACCCCGUCGUGCCGUUGAUACUGGCAGUCUUGAGUACAGUUGAGGUAGGCGGAAUUCGUGGUGUAGCGGUGAAAUGCUUAGAUAUCACGAAGAACCCCGAUUGCGAAGGCAGCUUACUAAACUGUGACUGACAUUGAUGCUCGAAAGUGUGGGUAUCAAACAGGAUUAGAUACCCGUGUAGUC